rnacentral:rRNA from 1 species
UACAGGGGGUGCAAACGUUGCUCGGAAUCAUUGGGCGUAAAGCGCACGUAGGCGGUUCGUUAAGUCGGAUGUGAAAGCCCUCGGCUCAACUGAGGAAGUGCACCCGAAACUGGCGAGCUUGAGUACGAAAGAGGAUCGCGGAAUUCCCGGUGUAGAGGUGAAAUUCGUAGAUAUCGGGAGGAACACCGGUGGCGAAGGCGGCGAUCUGGGUCGAUACUGACGCUGAGGUGCGAAAGCGUGGGGAGCAACAGG